rnacentral:rRNA from 1 species
CAAUAGACGGUCUUGGAAAUCCGCAGUGAAUCAUGUUAUUUAAUUAGAUAAUCCGCUAAAAAUCUUACCUUUCCUUAAAACAAUUAGUUCUAAUUGUUGGGUAUUGCAUGGCUGUCUUUAGUUAAUGUCGUAAGAUGAGGUUAAUUCCCAUUAAUUAACGAAAGCCUUCAAAGAAUUUGUUUUUCUUUGUGUUAGUGAUAAGCUAACUUUUUAGAGGGUUAAGACAAGUCAAUAUGAUCCUUAUGGAAAGGGCUAUAGACGUGAUAUAAAAUCUAAUCCAAUAAUUUUUAAUAUCGAAAGAUUGAAGUAUUAUUAUAAUGGUUAGGAGAUUUAUUCAGAUUUAAAUCUGUAAUUUGAUUUAAUGAAGGAGGAAUUGCGAGUAAUCACUAAUCAUUACGUAGUGGUGAAAUUUAUCUCUGAGAUGUACUAACUACUCGUCAAGCGCUGAAAGUAUUAAUCUCUUGAAGAAGACAUUCAUUUGUUUUCCAAAGGUGUUGUGCAAUUAGUGUUAAGUUGAAAUC